CGUCGUCACUCAGUCUACUAUGUCUUCCCGCACCUUAUGUUAGUAUUAUUUAUUUAGAACCCAAGUUCACGGGCGGAGUUAGUUACUCAAACUACCUACGAUUGUCAUGGACAGUAGUUCACACAGCUCAUUGCGUAUUAAAGUGAUUGCAAAACACGUAGUAUCAGUAUCACAAAUAAGUUGACAGUGACGAGUGCAAUAAAAACAAAAAUGAGUGUUGAAAAACGUAAAAUAAAUGUCGAUAAACGUAAGAAGUUUGUAAACCAUCUAGCUGUUUUCAAGCCGAGAACAAAGAAAGACGACAAUAAUGAAUUGUCUGAACGGAUUAUUAUCACUGCGAGGAAAACUGGCGAGCUUAAUUUAUCUUCAAGGGGAUUAGCUACAGUGCCUAAAAGAGUAUGGACGUUAAACGACUUAACAAAAGAAGAGAUCGAAGAGCUGCAUAUGAAUUUGGAUUUCGAUGAUGACCGAGAUCGUUGGUGGGAACAAGAACUGCUAAAAACAUUGAACCUUUGUUCAAAUAGUAUAACAACCAUUGAUCCAGAAAUUCAAAAUUUAUCUGAUCUUAUUGAUUUAGACUUUCACGAUAAUUUGAUUGAAGAAUUACCUGACGCAUUAAAAACUUUAUCUAAGCUGAGAAAAUUAAAUUUAUCUCACAAUAAUUUAAACAAAAUAAAUACUAAUUUAUUUACAUUGGAGAAUUUACGUCACCUGAAUUUAUCUCACAAUAAUAUUCAAGAGUUAGACCCAUCAAUUGGCGAUCUUGUUAUGCUGGAGACAUUAAAUCUGUCAUAUAAUAAUAUCGCGAAACUACCUGUUGGAUUGGGAUACCUGGUACGGCUAUGUAAACUUGAUUUAAGUCACAAUCUGUUGAUAGAAUUACCACCGGAUAUUAUGAGCAUGAGAGUUUUAAAAAAAUUUGAUGCAAGUUCUAAUCACUUGGAAGUAACUCCUCCUUUGGGUGAAAUGAGAAAACUCGAGAUUCUUAAUCUACAGGAUAAUCAUUUAUCUGUCUUUCCUGAUGUGAUUGGGUGUACUGCUUUACGUGAAAUCUACCUUUCUAACAACCAAAUCACUGAAUUAAAAAUGGAAUGUUUAGAAGGUAUUGGACAAUUAAAAUCUCUGGUAAUGUCUAAUAAUAAAAUAGAAACAAUCCCUGAUGACAUCAUUACCCUACUCAAUUUAGAACGACUUGACUUAUCCUUCAACAAACUAACUUUCGUAUCGAAUUCACUAUGUGUAAUGCCAAAUUUGAAGCAUCUCAUCAUUGAUGGUAAUAAAAUUAAAAAUGUAAGAAGAGAUAUUAUUCAAUGCGGAACACCGAGAAUUUUAAGACACUUGAGGCAAGGCUUUGACUCCGAGUCUAUUGAAUUAAAUCGAUCAUCAUCACCAUGUCCGGCUAUGAUUCCUGGCCCUGAUAAGUACAUGAUGAAGCACACGAAAUUACUGAGUUUGGCAGCUCAGAAUCUCGACCAAAUACCUGAUAUCGUUUUGGAAGAUGCAAGUGAAGCUAAAGUGACGUGUGUUGAUUUAAGUCGCAAUCGACUUACACAAUUGCCGGAUAAAUUGAAUUUAAUAAAGUCUAUUGAAGAUUUGAAAUUAUUCUGCAAUCAGUUGACGUCAUUGCCCGAGUGGAUCGGUGAGCUGUGCUGUCGUUUAAGAUACUUGGAUUUGAGUAAAAAUCAAUUGACAAAUCUACCCGAGAGCAUUGGAAAGCUUGAACUUUUACGAGAAAUAAAUAUUUCACAUAAUAAGUUUACGGUUGUACCUGAAUGUAUCUAUAAAAUAAGUCAUUUGGAAAUACUAAUUAUUCACGAUAACCGCGUAAAAGAAAUAGACGCAUCGUCGUUUGCUAAAUUAAAACGAUUAGCAAAAUUAGAUCUGUCGAAUAAUGACAUUGGACAUAUACCUCCCGAACUGGGAAACCAAACAAAUAUAAGUUGAUAUGUAAGCCAUCAGUAAUAUGAAUGUUAUGAUGUUGGAUCCCAAGCAUUGCAUAUCAUUGCAUGUUGUAAUUGUUACGCUCAGUGCAAAUCACCAUCCCGUUGUCACCUCAUCGAGUGUGGGCUCUGCUGCUGUCAGGGAAUUGCUUCAAACAACCACGCCAAGCUAUAUUGGUCAAAGGAACCGAUGACAUUCUUUCGUAUUUACGAAAUCAAAUACCUUUGUAAUGAUGUUUCGUGAUCAAUGCCAAAGAUAUUGUGCCUAUAUCCUGAAUUGAAAAUUGAUUUAAAAACAAAGUAUUCUAAAUGCUAUUAAAAUUGAGAUUUUAAUAAACAGAUAUUAUUAUUGAUAAAAAUAA
rnacentral:misc_RNA from 1 species